GUUAAGAUAAUAAGUUAAUUUAUUCACUUACAAUGAAUUAAAAUUUUGUGCAACUCAAAAUAUCUUAA
rnacentral:tRNA from 1 species